rnacentral:rRNA from 1 species
GGUAACUCGGUGGCAGGCGGCGCGGGAAUACAGGGGAUGCAAGGGUUAUCCGGGAUGAUUGGGCGUAAAGCGUCUGUAGGUGGCUCUCCAAGUCUCCUGUUAAAUCCCAGAGCUUAACUUUGGAUCAGCAUGAGAAACUCGAGAGCUUGAGUACGGUAGGGGCAGAGGGAAUUCCCGGUGUAGCGGUGAAAUGCGUAGAGAUCGGGAAGAACACCGAUGGCGAAAGCACUCUGCUGGGCCGUUACUGACACUCAGAGACGAAAGCUAAGGGAGCGAAUGGGAUUAGAUACCCGAGUAGUC